rnacentral:rRNA from 1 species
UACGAAGGGGGCUAGCGUUGUUCGGAUUUACUGGGCGUAAAGCGCACGUAGGCGGAUCGUUAAGUGAGGGGUGAAAUCCCAGGGCUCAACCCUGGAACUGCCUUUCAUACUGGCGAUCUCGAGUCCGGAAGAGGUGAGUGGAACUCCUAGUGUAGAGGUGGAAUUCGUAGAUAUUAGGAAGAACACCAGUGGCGAAGGCGGCUCACUGGUCCGGUACUGACGCUGAAGUGCGAAAGCGUGGGGAGCAAACAGG